GCAACGCCGCGUGAGGGACGACGGCCUUCGGGUUGUAAACCUCUUUUAGCAGGGAAGAAGCGAAAGUGACGGUACCUGCGGAAAAAGCACCGGCUAACUACGUGCCAGCAGCCGCGGUAAUACGUAGGGUGCAAGCGUUGUCCGGAAUUAUUGGGCGUAAAGAGCUCGUAGGCGGUUUGUCGCGUCUGCUGUGAAAUCCCGAGGCUCAACCUCGGGCCUGCAGUGGGUACGGGCAGACUAGAGUGCGGUAGGGGAGAUUGGAAUUCCUGGUGUAGCGGUGGAAUGCGCAGAUAUCAGGAGGAACACCGAUGGCGAAGGCAGAUCUCUGGGCCGUAACUGACGCUGAGGAGCGAAAGCGUGGGGAGCGAACAGGAUUAGAUACCCUGGUAGUCCACGCCGUAAACGUUGGGAACUAGAUGUGGGGACCAUUCCACGGUCUCCGUGUCGCAGCUAACGCAUUAAGUUCCCCGCCUGGGGAGUACGGCCGCAAGGCUAAAACUCAAAGGAAUUGACGGGGGCCCGCACAAGCGGCGGAGCAUGCGGAUUAAUUCGAUGCAACGCGAAGAACCUUACCAAGGCUUGACAUAUACUAGAACGGGCCAUAAAUGGUCAACUCUUUGGAC
rnacentral:rRNA from 1 species